UGUAACCGCCAUAAGGAUAAGAAGCCCGGAAACUUCUCCGGAAAUUCGGCGCGCAGUUCCGUUGUUACAGAUGGAUUCCCCCAAUGGAGACACUGAGAUUUUCAACAGUACCUGGCAUAUGAGGGUUAUUGCUCCAUCAAGAGAAAGGUCACCACAGACUCAAAAGAAACAGAGAAAGAGGCAACAGAGAGCUGACCCCAUGUCAAGUUUGUUUUCACCAAUAUUAAAUUGAUUGAUGAAUGUGGAGGCACAAUGCCACAUUUAUCCCAUCCCUCCUCAAGCUAUGUCUUGCUGGAUGUCAGUCUUGGAAGUAACAACUGUCAUGACAAAUAAUAAUAAGAAUUCUAUGAGUGUAA